rnacentral:lncRNA from 1 species
CCUCUUAGCCAUGGCAAUGCCUUCCAGCAUCAAGAUUUUGCUGCUCUUGGCAAUAGUUUGCCGGCUUCUUUCCAAGAUACAACGGAGUAAUGCGGCGGACCGACAACGCGGUGGUGGAAAUCGGUCGCCUUCUCCGCCACGCCACCUACAACAAAGAAGACGUAAUAUGGGAGGCCAAGGAAACGCGCCAAGAGGCGCUAAUGGAGGAGGAGGUGAUGCACAUGCGAGAGGUGCACGGGGACGAAGAAAUGCUAUAGGUGGCGAUACUGGUAAAAGUAAUGGAUAGGCGCCAUCAAUAUUACUGUGACCUCUGCCGCUUAGCGAUGGUUAUUUGAAUUAUCGA